GAUGAACGCUGGCGGCGUGCCUAACACAUGCAAGUCGAGCGGACGGACGAGAAGCGCGCCUCUCUGCUGCUACCGACGGGCGGGUGAGUAAUACGUGUAUACCUUACCUAGAAGGCUGGGAUAACGUCGGGAACGCUGAUCCAACAUCCGUCAUGAGUUUGAAACUCAUGGUUCUUCAGUGAUCGCCGGUUCUGAUGUGCCUAGUAGAGGGUACCUCGCUGGAUUAGCUAGUUGGUAAGGUAACGGCUUACCAAGGCAACGAUGCGUAGCCGACCUGAGAGGGUGAUCGGCCACACUGGAACUGAGACACGGUCCAGACUCCUACGGGAGGCAGCAGUGGGGAAUCUUGCACAAUGGGCGAAAGCCUGACGCAGCCAUGCCGCGUGAGUGAAGAAGGUCUUCGGAUCGUAAAGCUCUGUUAGUUGGGAAGAACAUAUGUGUGAGUAACUGUGGACGUCUUGACGGUACCUACAGAAAAAGCAACGGCUAACUACGUG
rnacentral:rRNA from 1 species